UGACGCCUACGGGGGGCAGCAGUGGGGAAUAUUGGGCAAUGGGCGCAAGCCUGACCCAGCAAUGCCGCGUGAAGGAAGAAGGCCCUCGGGUUGUAAACUUCUUUUAUCAGGGACGAAGGAUGUGACGGUACCUGAUGAAUAAGCUCCGGCUAACUACGUGCCAGCAGCCGCGGUAAUACGUAGGGAGCAAGCGUUAUCCGGAUUUACUGGGUGUAAAGGGCGUGUAGGCGGGAUGGCAAGUC
rnacentral:rRNA from 1 species